rnacentral:rRNA from 1 species
UAAUGUCUGGGAAACUGCCUGAUGGAGGGGGAUAACUACUGGAAACGGUAGCUAAUACCGCAUAAUGUCGCAAGACCAAAGUGGGGGACCUCCGGGCCUCAUGCCAUCAGAUGUGCCCAGAUGGGAUUAGCUAGUAGGUGGGGUAACGGCUCACCUAGGCGACGAUCCCUAGCUGGUCUGAGAGGAUGACCAGCCACACUGGAACUGAGACACGGUCCAG